UAGUAAUAAAAGAUAAUAGGCAUUAUUUAUGAAUAGAAACCAAUCCUGUGGUACAAAUUAACUUGGGGGCAAUCCUGUGAUACAAAUUAACUUGGGGGGUUAAAAUGCAUCUCUGUACUUUCCAUUCUGUCAGUUCCGAUGAGUGAUAUCCUGUCGUCGUAGACAUCAAUGUAUCCAAAUGCAUUGGUACCAGGAGGACAUUCCAAAGAAGCUUCAAAAACUCUGUGGUGUAUCCCAUGAGAAUCAAUGGAGUAUCCACCUUUAUGAUCAUGCCCUGCAAGACAGGCCUUAACGCAAUUGUAUCUGUGUAUCAAAUUCAUUACUUUAUCAUAAUUCCACAACAGUGUUGCUUUACUUGCCGCACCAGGAUCUAGAGGCAAAUGGCAACAGACAAUCACCUUCUGAUUCAAUAUUGUCGCAUCCAGGAGAACACCAUCUAACCAUUCUAUCUGUUCCUUUCCAAGACCCCCAUUAAACAUCACAAACCUUCUUUCAGGGCCCUCCAAAUUAUCUGGACUGUUCAUAUUUUCAUUUGGAUUCUUCUCCCGAAGGAUUUUCAUGGCCUCCAAUGUUUUGGGAUGAUCUUGUGGCCAACCAAUGGCACUGAUGUCAUAGGCAUCCAGAACUACAAAUCUAUAUUCAGGCACCGGUGAAAAAUCAUAGUAUGCACGGCCAUCAAGACUUUGGAUCUUCAAUAACGGAAGCAACUGGCUGCGAGGGAGA
rnacentral:sRNA from 1 species